GUGCUCGCUUCGGCAGCACAUAUGCUAAAACUGGACCGAUACAGAGAAGAUGAGCAUGGCCCCUGUGCAAGGAUGACACCCAUAUUCUUGAAGCGUUCCAUAAAAUU